GAGUAGGUUUGGAUUGGCUCUCCUAUCUUCUACAUCUCCAUUUAUUUUCGGAAAUUGAUAUGGGUUAUCCUUAUGUAAUGAAACAAUUUAGAUUAAACAUAAACUAAGAGAUAGAUACAGACCAAAGUUAAGUUGUUUGCUUGAGUAAAUUAGGCAGCGGCAUGGCCUCUGCCUCCUUAUAGUGAGACACUGUGAAAUGGAAGACUUGCUACCCUUGGAAUGCUGCAGAAACAAGCACACAAGGAUUGCUACUGUGUUCUCUAUACAAUCAAUACUGAUUGCUGAUUUCUUUCUUGAUGAGAUGAGCAACUCACUUGGUUCAUCAAAACUGAUUUUGAGGUUUCCAGGUUGUAUGUACCAAAGAAGACAAGAAGCCGUUCUGGACACUAUCCUGACCCUUGGUUCUCUGCAGUGUCAACAAUUUUGCAAGAAAGUAUGUGUUUCUAGGGUCAAAGAUUAUUGCUUCCCUUCUACUCAUGGAAAUUGUUGGUUGCUCUUUGUCCCUUUCUUGCGAAACUCAUACCAGCUUAUUUUUUAGAUAUCAAAGUUGUUGGUAGUAGAUAAUUAAUGUCACCCUUCUGCUGCUAAAUGCUUUUUGUAUUUUUAGGAAGCAUAAGUGAUGUUCUUAUGAUUUCCUAUUUUAUAUCCUGGCAAUGACAUCGGAAGUUGGUUCAUAAUGGUGUUAUUCGUCAAUUUAUAGACCCUUCUAUAUUUUCAAUAAAGGUUGUAUAGAGAUUCAUGGCUAGCUGCAUAAGCAUAAUUCAGUAAGAAUUUAUCUAUUUUCCCUGGAACACUAUUGUCCAGCAUAUACAUGUAUUUUCUGAUUCUAACAAAGAUGCAUGCUGAUCUCUGAAAAGUACAGUAUGUAUCUUUAAUCUUA